UACGUAGGGGGCAAGCGUUGUCCGGAUUUAUUGGGCGUAAAGAGCGUGUAGGCGGCCAAGCAGGUCAGCUGUGAAAACUCGAGGCUCAACCUCGAGACGUCGGUUGAAACCGCUUGGCUAGAGUCCAGAAGAGGAGAGUGGAAUUCCCGGUGUAGCGGUGAAAUGCGCAGAUAUCGGGAAGAACACCCGUGGCGAAGGCGGCUCUCUGGGACGGUACUGACGCUGAGACGCGAAAGCGUGGGGAGCGAACAGG
rnacentral:rRNA from 1 species